AACGAACGCUGGCGGCAGGCUUAACACAUGCAAGUCGAGCGCCCCGCAAGGGGAGCGGCAGACGGGCGAGUAACGCGUGGGAAUCUACCCAUCUCUACGGAAUGACGCAUGGAAACGUGUGCUAAUACCGUAUACGUCCUUUUGGAGAAAGAUUUAUCGGAGAUGGAUGAGCCCGCGUUGGAUUAGCUAGUUGGUGGGGUAAAGGCCUACCAAGGCGACGAUCCAUAGCUGGUCUGAGAGGAUGAUCAGCCACACUGGGACUGAGACACGGCCCAG
rnacentral:rRNA from 1 species